rnacentral:rRNA from 1 species
CUGGGAUUAGAUACCCUGUUAUUUAAAAUGUAAUUAUAAAGACUAAGGUAGUAUUAGAUAUGUUCUUUAAACUUAAAAAAUUUGGCGGUAUUUUAGUCUAUUCAGAGGAACCUGUUUUGUAAUCGAUAAUCCACGAUGGACCUUACUUAAAUUUGUUAAUCAGUUUAUAUACCGUUGUUAUUAGAAUAUUUUAUAAGAAUGUUAAUUUUCAUAAUUUUUUUAUAAAAAAGUAUAUCAAAUCAAGGUGUAGCUUAUAUUUAAGUAUAAAUGGGUUACAAUAAAUUUAUUUAAGCGGAUAUAAAUUUGAAAUAUUUAUUAAAGAUGGAUUUGAUAGUAAAGUUAUAUAGAUUAAUAAUUUGAUUUUAGCUCUAAAAUAUGUACAAAUCGCCCGUCACUCUCUGA